GGGGGUGCCAGGCAUCGAUAAUAAAGUUCAUUAAAAAUAUUCAGGACGCGCAUUUUGGGAUGGCGCGCUAAUCUUAUCUCAAAAACAAUAAGUGCAAAUACAAUUGCCAGCAAAGUAACAGCUGCUUAUAACGCGGUGAAAACUGCCUUUAGCAUGCCUAACUUUGCUUAUGUUGCGGUUUAGUAAUAAACUGCAACCAUCUGUCUUAGUGAGUCUUCAUAGCUAAAAACAGGUGUUAUGCCUCGCGUCUUUUAGAUGCGUGGUAUGAAGAUAGAUUUAUAAGAUGUCCUUGCUUGUAAAUUGAAAAUUUAAGGAAUAGUUGUUAUUCUUUUUGCCUGAUUUUUUAGAAUAGCGGUGAAAAUUUAAAUCAGGACAUUUCUGUAAAAAUAUUUUUAAGACUUUAUUAGACGCGGGUUCAACUCCCGCCAUCUCCAC
rnacentral:tmRNA from 1 species